rnacentral:rRNA from 1 species
UUGAACGCUGGCGGCAGGCCUAACACAUGCAAGUCGAGCGGAUGAAGGGAGCUUGCUCCUGGAUUCAGCGGCGGACGGGUGAGUAAUGCCUAGGAAUCUGCCUGGUAGUGGGGGAUAACGUCCGGAAACGGGCGCUAAUACCGCAUACGUCCUGAGGGAGAAAGUGGGGGAUCUUCGGACCUCACGCUAUCAGAUGAGCCUAGGUCGGAUUAGCUAGUUGGUGGGGUAAAGGCCUACCAAGGCGACGAUCCGUAACUGGUCUGAGAGGAUGAUCAGUCACACUGGAACUGAGACACGGUCCAGACUCCUACGGGAGGCAGCAGUGGGGAAUAUUGGACAAUGGGCGAAAGCCUGAUCCAGCCAUGCCGCGUGUGUGAAGAAGGCCUUCGGAUUGUAAAGCACCUUAAGUUGGGAGGAAGGGCAGUAAGUUAAUACCUUGCUGUUUUGACGUUACCAACAGAAUAAGCACCGGCUAACUUCGUG